GCCUGGCUGGCUCAGGCAGAAAAGCAUCCAAAUUUUGAUCUUGGGGUUGUGGGUUUGAGUCCCACGCUGGGUG
rnacentral:tRNA from 1 species